rnacentral:piRNA from 1 species
UCACCGUUUCACUGGAUAGACUGCCC